rnacentral:rRNA from 1 species
CGGCGACCGGCGCACGGGUGAGUAACGCGUAUCCAACCUGCCCAUAACUAAGGGAUAACCCAGCGAAAGUUGGACUAAUACCUUAUGUAUUCGUUUGAUCUCAUGAGAUUACGAAUAAAGAUUUAUCGGUUAUGGAUGGGGAUGCGUCUGAUUAGCUUGUUGGCGGGGUAACGGCUCACCAAGGCAACGAUCAGUAGGGGUUCUGAGAGGAAGGUCCCCCACAUUGGAACUGAGACGCGGUCCAAACUCCUACGGGAGGCAGCAGCC